CAGCAGCCGCGGUAAUACGGAGGAUGCAAGCGUUAUCCGGAUUCAUUGGGCGUAAAGGGUCCUGAGGUGGCCUGCUUAGUCUACUGUGAAAGCUCAGGGCUUAACCCUGACAAUGCGGUGGAAACUAGCAGGCUAGAAUACGGUAGGGGCAGGGGGAAUUCCCGGUGUAGCGGUGAAAUGCAUAGAUAUCGGGAGGAACACCAAAGGCGAAGGCACCCUGCUGGGCCGAUAUUGACACUGACAGACGAAGGCUAGGGGAGCAAAGAGGAUUAGAUACCCCCGUAGUCCCUGUCUCUUAUAC
rnacentral:rRNA from 1 species